CUCCCAGAAAGAUGCUGUCCUGCUGUACCUCCUCUGAAACCUCAUGCAUUUGCUUUAAUCGACAGACAGCUGAAAAGUGUCCUCUCCUGUGACAUUUCCUGCAUUCCGCAUCCUUUGCUGGGCAAUCUUUCCAUCUGUGGAAAGGGGAUUUCCCACAUUUGCGGCAAACAUUUGAACUAGCUACUAGUGCUGUCUGUGAUUGUUUUCUCCACAUCUGUCUCUGUUAUUUGUUCCCCUCCGUUUUUUUAGCUCUGUAUGAAAAUGCAUGUAUUUCCUCACUCUCUUCGUUCUGCAAUGAGCUGCUGUCGCGCAGUAUCGUCUGCUGUCUUUUUACUGUCUCACUCUGCCUAACCUGGUUUACAGCUUUGGACAAGGGAAAACCCGUAGAAGCCUUAUGACAUGGAUCAGUGAGCACCGCAGCAAUAUACGGACAGGAAGUGAUGUCACUGAGUACUGCCCCUAUAUAUAGGACCUUCCAUCCCCACCUUGGAUAUGGAUGCCUGAUGAAGACCUAAGGGUUGAAAUGUUGUUGUAAAUAAAUAUCGCCUGGGAGCAUGAGCAGCUGUGUGCAGCGGUUUCCUUUCUGUUUUCCUUGAGUUUGCCUACAACUCUAGCAC